AGCAGGAGGAGGAAAACUGAAGGCUGAGGCAGGACUGUGACUGAAGUCCAGAAGAUGAGUGUUUGUGUGGAGGAAGAAGAGGACAGAGCAGAAUGUCCAGGAUCCAGCUGUCUGUCUAUGAAGAGAAAAAUGUCCAGACUGUUGGAUCCUGCAGACUUCAGUAAUGAACCUGGCCCCUUAGACACAAAACCACCUAAAGUCCAGAAAGUGUUUGUGUGGAGGAAAAGGAGGACAGAGCAGAGUCUC